rnacentral:rRNA from 1 species
AAUCAACGCUGGCGGCGCGCUUAACACAUGCAAGUCGAACGAGAAAGUCCGCAAGGAUGAGUAAAGUGGCGUACGGGUGAGUAACACGUGGAUGAUCUACCUCUGGGUGGGGAAUACCUCUGGGAAACCGGAGACAAUACCGCAUAAGCUCGAGAGAGGAAACCCGAAAGGGGCCGAGAGAGGAGUCCGCGGCCGAUUAACUAGUUGGUAGGGUAAGAGCCUACCAAGGCAAAGAUCGGUAGCCGGCCUGAGAGGGCACACGGCCACACUGGCACUGAAACACGGGCCAGACUCCUACGGGAGGCAGCAGUGGGGAAUCUUGCACAAUGGGGGAAACCCUGAUGCAGCGACGCCGCGUGAGCGAUGAAGCCCUUCGGGGUGUAAAGCUCUUUCGACGGGAACGAUAAUGACGGUACCCGGAGAAGAAGCUGCGGCUAACUACGUGCCAGCAGCCGCCGUAAGAC